rnacentral:misc_RNA from 1 species
GACUGACUUCCUAUUCAUGAUCAGGUUUCUCUUCAUAGCAUUCUACAAGUAGACGAUGCCCACUAACUUGCUUUUAGGUGAUUUACUGAAGAAGAAAAAUAUUUAGCUUACUGUUUAAGACUGAAUUUCAUCUGCCUUUAAUCUCUCCAUGCUGACAACUUAAAACCUGAGAAAGAUCCAGGCCUAUAAACUAUAAAGAUUGUUGGCCUAAAAAUUGGAAUGGGAUUGGGCUGGACUGCAUGGCUUCAAAGUCAAU